GACGAACGCUGGCGGCGUGCUUAACACAUGCAAGUCGAACGGAAAGGCCCUGCUUUUGUGGGGUGCUCGAGUGGCGAACGGGUGAGUAACACGUGAGUAACCUGCCCUUGACUUUGGGAUAACUUCAGGAAACUGGGGCUAAUACCGGAUAGGAGCUCCUGCUGCAUGGUGGGUGUUGGAAAGAUUCGGCGGUUGGGGAUGGACUCGCGGCCUAUCAGCUUGUUGGUGGGGUAGUGGCUUACCAAUGCUUUGACGGGUAGCCGGCCUGAGAGGGAGACCGGCCACAUUGGGCCUGAGAAACGACCCAGACUGCUACGGGAGCAAUCGGUGGGAGUUAGAGCACAAUGGGCGGAAGGCUGAUGCAGCAUCGCCGCGUCCUAGAUCACGGCCUUCGGGUUAUAAACCUUUUUCGCGUGUGACGAAGCGUGAGUGACGGUAAUGUGUAAGGAAGCACCGGCUAACUACGUG
rnacentral:rRNA from 1 species